rnacentral:rRNA from 1 species
AGCGCUUGUGACCAGACUUGCGUCCGGUGAAUCACCCAGCUCUCGCGGCUGGGGCACUUCGCCGGCUCAGGCCAGCAUCAGCUCGCUGUCGGGGACAAAAGCUUCAGGAACGUAGCUCUCUUCGGGGAGUGUUAUAGCCUGUUGCAUAAUACCCUUCGGCGGGCUGAGGUACGCGCUCCGCAAGGAUGCUGGCAUAAUGGUCAUCAGCGACCCGUCUUGAAAACGGACCA